CUGGCGGCAUGCUUAACACAUGCAAGUCGCACGGGCAGCAAUGUCAGUGGCGGACGGGUGAGUAACGCGUAGGAACGUGUCCUGAGGUGGGGGACAACCCCGGGAAACUGGGGCUAAUACCGCAUAUGGGCUGAGGCCCAAAGCCGAGAGGCGCCUUUGGAGCGGCCUGCGUCCGAUUAGGUAGUUGGUGGGGUAAAGGCCUACCAAGCCUGCGAUCGGUAGCUGGUCUGAGAGGACGACCAGCCACACUGGGACUGAGACACGGCCCAGACUCCUACGGGAGGCAGCAGUGGGGAAUAUUGGACAAUGGGCGAAAGCCUGAUCCAGCAAUGCCGCGUGGGUGAAGAAGGUCUUCGGAUCGUAAAGCCCUUUCGACGGGGACGAUGAUGACGGUACCCGUAGAAGAAGCCCCGGCUAACUUCGUG
rnacentral:rRNA from 1 species